GACGAACGCUGGCGGCGUGCUUAACACAUGCAAGUCGAACGCUGAAGCUCAGCUUUUGUUGGGUGGAUGAGUGGCGAACGGGUGAGUAACACGUGAGUAACCUGCCCCCUUCUUUGGGAUAACGCCCGGAAACGGGUGCUAAUACUGGAUAUUCACUGGUCUUCGCAUGGGGGUUGGUGGAAAGGGUUUUUCUGGUGGGGGAUGGGCUCGCGGCCUAUCAGCUUGUUGGUGGGGUGAUGGCCUACCAAGGCUUUGACGGGUAGCCGGCCUGAGAGGGUGAACGGUCACAUUGGGACUGACAUACGGCCCAGACUCCUACGGGAGGCAGCAGUGGGGAAUAUUGCACAAUGGGCGCAAGCCUGAUGCAGCGACGCCGCGUGAGGGAUGGAGGCCUUCGGGUUGUGAACCUCUUUCGCUCAUGGUCAAGCCGCAACAAUGGUUGUGGUGAGGGUAGUGGGUAAAGAAGCGCCGGCUAACUACGUG
rnacentral:rRNA from 1 species